rnacentral:rRNA from 1 species
UACAGAGGUCUCAAGCGUUGUUCGGAAUCAUUGGGCGUAAAGCGGGUGUAGGCGGCUCUGUAAGUCAGGAGUGAAAGCCCCAAGCUUAACUUGGGAAGUGCUUUUGAUACUGCGGAGCUUGAAUGUGGGAGAGGGUAGUGGAAUUCCAGGUGUAGUGGUGAAAUACGUAGAUAUCGGGAGGAACACCAGUGGCGAAGGCGAACUACCUGGCCUGUUCUUGACGCUGAGGCGCGAAAGCUAGGGGAGCAAACGGG